GAAAUAUUAAAGGUAAAUAAGGAACGGCUGAACGGAAAAAAACUUGUAAAUUUAUGCAUUUACAGUUGUAUGAAAAACAAAAAGAAUUGUUUAUAAUUAAGAAAAAUCACUAGCUUUUCCACCAAUUAACAAUCCAACGAUCAAUCCAAAUAAUCCCAAGACACUUCCGAAAAUUUCGACAACAAGAACUUUUACGAAAAGAGAAGCGUCUUGGGCAUCCGCAAGGGCAGCACUGCUUCCUGUGAUACCGACGCAGACACCACAAAUGAGAUUGCAGAGACCAACAGUAAUACCUCCCCAAAACAAGGCAAAACCAGUAUAAUAAUGGGAUUUUGUAUAAAAACCUGCAGGAUUGAUGUCGUUAAUUUUAGCGGAAAAGACAAUAGCUAUAAUAAGUGAAUAAAUGGCAACGACCUCACAAAAGAUAAUACUAAUCAAAUUUUUGGUCUUGAUGCGAGGAGCUUUUACAGCACCUCCUAAAAUGGAUGUUCCACAAAUAAAAAUACCCCAUGCAGCACCUAUAAUACCAAAUGCAACACAGCUAGCAAUGCCAAGAAGGCCCCAUGUGUACGGACUAGUGUCUAAAAGAAAGCUUCCAAAAUCAAAAGAUUCUCCACUGUUAUGGAAAAGCAUAUACAGCCCAACAAUUAUUGACAUAACUGUGGUUGUCCAUAAAGAUGUGCUAAACAAAGACAUUUUGUUAUUCUCUGAUUUUUCAGUUUUAAUCUAAAAGUGGUGGGUAAAG